UACGAGGGGUGCAAGCGUUGCUCGGAAUUAUUGGGCGUAAAGGGUAGGUAGGUGGUCUCAUUUGUCUGCGGUGAAAGCCUUGGGCUUAACUCAAGAAGUGCCGCAGAAACGGUGAGACUGGAGUCCUGGAGAGGGUCGUGGAAUUCCAGGUGUAGCGGUGAAAUGCGUAGAUAUCUGGAGGAACACCGGUGGCGAAGGCGGCAUCCUGGACCAACACUGACACUGAGGAGCGAAAGCCAGGGGAGCAAACGGG
rnacentral:rRNA from 1 species